rnacentral:misc_RNA from 1 species
GAUGAAGAACGUAGCGAAAUGCGAUAAGUAGUGUGAAUUGCAGAAUUCAGUGAAUCAUCGAAUCUUUGAACGCACAUUGCGCCCCUUGGUAUUCCAUGGGGCAUGCCUGUUCGAGCGUCAUUUGUACCUUCAAGCUUUGCUUGGUGUUGGGUGUUUGUCCUGAGGGACUCGCCUUAAAGUAAUUGGCAGCCAGUGUUUUGGUUUUGAAGCGCAGCACAAGUCGCGAUUCAAGGCUAUACGCAGCUUCCACAAGCCUUUUUCACUUUUGACCUCGGAUCAGGUAGGGAUACCCGCUGAACUUAAGCAUAUCAAUAAGCGGAGGA